GAGUUCUGUUGAAAACCGUUUGUACCAGUCUGCUGAAUUUUUAGACCCAAAAACCAGACGAGGUGAUGCUGAUGUUGAUAACCAAUUAGCGUCAUCUUCGCAUGAUAAUCAAUUAUACCAGAUGCAGAUGCAAACUUACAACGAAAAUGAUGGAAAGAAUUUACAAUGUACAUUACUUCAAAGGGUUGAGGAAUAAGCAGGAGAACAUUUGCCAAAGAUAACUGAAGCAGACCUGAACUAUGCAGAAAUUGAAUUUGAGGACCGACAAUUGUCUUGAUCAGUUAUUAUUCACGGAAUUGAUGAUAAGACUAUAUAUUCUGACAUAGUUGUUGGGGCCCAAUUGCCGAAUCUUCUGUCUACCACUGACAGUUCAAGUGAAAGUGAAGACGUUUUUAUUUAUGUAGAUGGAAUCGAAAAUUACACUGAAAGAAGGAAAAUGAAUGCAUCUCAGCAAUAAUUGGUGUGUACAUACCAUGUAAAUGAAACAAUAAAUUCCGAUUGUGUUCUGCAUUUUUCUGUAUAUAACUUAACACUGUACAAACAGACGUCAUACUUUUGUACAACAUUUACAACCAAUGCAUACAUAACAUCACUAUGGAAUACGAGGCAUUCAACAUUACUCGAUAAAAGAUUUUCUACACGAGAGAGCACAGAACGUCGUCCUCGAAAACGCAGAUCCAAUCAUGUAUCUGUCCAGUCGGGAGUUCCUCAUGACAACGUCUUGAGUACAAAAUUUUGUCCAAAACUAUUGCUGCUAUACAUCUAUGCCUUUCCGUAUUACUCCGUCAACAAAUCAUCAGUUCGAAUAUUUGCCGAUGAUUGCGUCCUGUUCAUACAAAUAAAAAGUAACCGAGAAAUGGACAUAUUCAAAGAAUAUAUGAAGGCACUACGAGCAUGGACGAAUACCUUGCUAAUGAAAUUUCAUCCCAAUAAAUGCGAUGUCCUACAUCGCAUUACCAACAUGACGUUAAACGAAAAUAUAACAUGUAUACCCAUAUAUGCAUGUCUGAAAGGCAGAUGAAUAGUAAAACAUUUGGGAGCUAACAUAUUCAAAACAAUAAACUGUAGCACCCAUAUAGAAAUGAUGAGAAAAGCCAUAAACAGAAGAGCUUUCUUGUUAUACCUACCAGUGCUUAC